UACGUAGGAGGCAAGCGUUGUCCGGAAUCACUGGGCGUAAAGCGCGUGUAGGUGGAAGAGGAAGUCUGCUGUGAAAGCGCCUGGCUUAACCGGGCGAGGUCGGUGGAAACUCCUCAUCUCGAGGGCGGUAGAGGGGGGUGGAAUUCCGGGUGUAGUGGUGAAAUGCGUAGAGAUCCGGAGGAACACCUGUGGCGAAGGCGAGUCCCUGGACAGGUCCUGACGCUGAGGCACGAAAGCUAGGGGAGCAAACAGG
rnacentral:rRNA from 1 species